rnacentral:rRNA from 1 species
GACGAACGCUGGCGGCGUGCUUAACACAUGCAAGUCGAACGGAAAGGCCCUGCUUGCAGGGUACUCGAGUGGCGAACGGGUGAGUAACACGUGGGUGAUCUGCCCUGCACUUCGGGAUAAGCCUGGGAAACUGGGUCUAAUACCGGAUAGGAGUCAUUUUUAGUGUGAUGGUUGGAAAGUUUUUUCGGUGUAGGAUGAGCUCGCGGCCUAUCAGCUUGUUGGUGGGGUAAUGGCCUACCAAGGCGGCGACGGGUAGCCGGCCUGAGAGGGUGGACGGCCACAUUGGGACUGAGAUACGGCCCAGACUCCUACGGGAGGCAGCAGUGGGGAAUAUUGCACAAUGGGCGCAAGCCUGAUGCAGCGACGCCGCGUGGGGGAUGACGGCCUUCGGGUUGUAAACUCCUUUCGCUAGGGACGAAGCUUUUUGUGACGGUACCUAGAGAAGAAGCACCGGCUAACUACGUG